AUUGAACGCUGGCGGCAGGCCUAACACAUGCAAGUCGAGCGGGGUUUUCGGACCUAGCGGCGGACGGGUGAGUAAUGCGUAGGAAGCUGCCCGAUAGAGGGGGAUACCAGUUGGAAACGACUGUUAAUACCGCAUAAUGUCUACGGACCAAAGUGUGGGACCUUCGGACCACAUGCUAUCGGAUGCGCCUACGUGGGAUUAGCUAGUUGGUGGGGUAAUGGCUUACCAAGGCGACGAUCUCUAGCUGGUUUGAGAGGAUGAUCAGCCACACUGGAACUGAGACACGGUCCAGACUCCUACGGGAGGCAGCAGUGGGGAAUAUUGGACAAUGGGCGCAAGCCUGAUCCAGCCAUGCCGCGUGUGUGAAGAAGGCCUUCGGGUUGUAAAGCACUUUCAGCGAGGAGGAAGGGUGGUGUGUUAAUAGCACAUCAUUUUGACGUUACUCGCAGAAGAAGCACCGGCUAACUCUGUGCCAGCCGCCGCAGUAAGAC
rnacentral:rRNA from 1 species